rnacentral:rRNA from 1 species
UACGUAGGGUCCGAGCGUUGUCCGGAAUUACUGGGCGUAAAGAGCUCGUUGGUGGUUUGUCGCGUUGUUCGUGAAAACUCACAGCUCAACUGUGGGCGUGCGGGCGAUACGGGCAGACUGGAGUACUGCAGGGGAGACUGGAAUUCCUGGUGUAGCGGUGGAAUGCGCAGAUAUCAGGAGGAACACCGGUGGCGAAGGCGGGUCUCUGGGCAGUAACUGACGCUGAGGAGCGAAAGCGUGGGGAGCGAACAGG